rnacentral:rRNA from 1 species
UAGGGAAUAUUGCACAAUGGGCGAAAGCCUGAUGCAGCAACGCCGCGUGCGCGAAGAAGGCCUUCGGGUCGUAAAGCGCUUUUCGGGGAGAUGAGGAAGGACAGUAUCCCCGGAAUAAGGCUCGGCUAACUACGUGCCAGCAGCCGCGGUAAAACGUAGGAGCCAAGCGUUAUCCGAAUUCACUGGGCGUAAAGCGCGUGCAGGCGGCUUGGUAAGUUGGAUGUGAAAUCUCCUGGCUCAACUGGGAGAGGCCGUUCAAUACUGUCAGGCUAGAGGGCGACAGAGGGAGGUGGAAUUCCGGGUGUAGUGGUGAAAUGCGUAGAUAUCCGGAGGAACACCAGAGGCGAAGGCGACCUCCUGGGUCGCACCUGACGCUCAGACGCGAAAGCUAGGGGAGCAAACGG